CCGUUACAAAAGACCUAAAAGAUUUUUUUUUAUUCGUUAAGAGAGUGUAAAGAGUUGAGUUACUACUGAGAGAGUUCUAGACGAGGAGAAGUAUUCGAGGAAGGAAAUGACCAAAAGCUUUUGUGAGUGACUUUCUUAAACCCGGGUGACUUUCUUAAACUGUAUACUCUUCUGUCAUCAGGUGUUGAGGUCAAGUAAGAAGAGGUAGGAUGGGUUGUGGGACAUGAAAGUUGAUCAAGUUAUCCGCCUUUAGACGGUUUAAAGUUAUUAUGUCUAAGGGGCAUUGCAGCACAACUUUGUGCAUAGGCUGAGUCUUGUCUGGAGAUAGAUUGCUAGGCGAGCAAGAAGAAGGAUAAGAAAGGGGUGCUUAUACUCCUAAACACCUUGGCAUGAAGAGUGAGAAUCCAGUGAGCAAAGGAAGACAUGAAGCUUAGGAUUUAGGUUUCAUCUAAGUGGCUUGCGAGGAAGAGAUGUAUUUGUAAAGUUUUAAACCAAGUAACAAAUCAUAGCGUGUUUUCUAUUA